rnacentral:rRNA from 1 species
UACGUAGGGGGCAAGCGUUGUCCGGAUUUACUGGGCGUAAAGAGCGCGUAGGCGGAGCGUUAAGUCCGGUUUGAAAGCCCCCCGGCUCAACCGGGGAGAGUGGCUGGAAACUGGCGUUCUCGAGGGCGAUAGAGGAGAGUGGAAUUCCUGGUGUAGCGGUGAAAUGCGUAGAUAUCGGGAGGAACACCAGUGGCGAAGGCGGCACUCUGGGCCGGAACUGACGCUGAGGAGCGAAAGCGUGGGGAGCAAACAGG